rnacentral:rRNA from 1 species
UACGGAGGAUGCGAGCGUUAUCCGGAUUUAUUGGGUUUAAAGGGUGCGUAGGCGGGCAUUUAAGCCGGCGGUCAAAUGUCCGGGCUCAACCCGGGCCGGCCGUUGAAACUGGGGAUCUUGAGUGGGCGAGAAGUAUGCGGAAUGCGUGGUGUAGCGGUGAAAUGCAUAGAUAUCACGCAGAACUCCGAUUGCGAAGGCAGCAUACCGGCGCCCGACUGACGCUGGGGCACGAAAGCGUGGGGAGCAAAUAGG